AUAAAUCAAGACUCCCCUUUCUCCCAGCCAAUUGAGAUGAGCUUUAGGAAGCAGACCAGCAGACUCAUAGCAGGAGCAGGCCCGCUUGCUGAACUCUUUGGGGAAGAGGGCCCAGCUGAAGGAGAAGAUGGCUAAGGCCCUACAGCUGGCCUAAGAGGCAAACAUAGUUCCAAGGGGAGAACUGGGGACUCUUGCCUUAAGAAGAGACAGAGGAACUGCAUGAAGCAGUACCCCAGCUCCAUGGAAUAUGUGGAAGAAGAAUUUUGCAUGUUGAAAAGACAGUAAUUUAAGGAGUGACAUCAAAUGAAAGAAAAAUCAGUCUCCUGGAGGAAAAAAAAAAACAACGAAAGAUUCAGAAGAUCAAGCAGCUCUGCCUGUGUAAAACAUCAAGUCCCUCGCCCUAGGACCUUUCACGGGUCAGGGACUGGCUCUUUCAUAGAGGUGAGCACUUAUGUUGCACAACUGAAAGGCAGCUGGGUAAAGGCUCAGGUUGGCCAACCUUGUCACAGGCCAACUGAAGGCAGGAGUCCACUUGUCUAUACUGAAUGAGAGAUGGUAAGUAGCGUGGGGGGCUAGGCAUGCAGUUAAGAUGCUUUUACCU